GACGAACGCUGGCGGCGUGCUUAACACAUGCAAGUCGAACGGAAAGGCCCUGCUUUUGUGGGGUGCUCGAGUGGCGAACGGGUGAGUAACACGUGAGUAACCUGCCCUUGACUUUGGGAUAACUUCAGGAAGCUGGGGCUAAUACCGGAUAGGAGCUCCUGCUGCAUGGUGGGGGUUGGAAAGUUUCGGCGGUUGGGGAUGGACUCGCGGCUUAUCAGCUUGUUGGUGGGGUAGUGGCUUACCAAGGCUUUGACGGGUAGCCGGCCUGAGAGGGUGACCGGCCACAUUGGGACUGAGAUACGGACCAGACUGCUACGGGAGGCAGCAGUGGGGAAUAUUGCACAAUGGGCGGAAGCGUGAUGCAGCAACGCCGCGUGCGGGAUGACGGCCUUCGGGUUGUAAACAGAUUUCGAAUGUGACGAAGCGUGAGUGACGGUAAUGGGUAAAGAAGCACCGGCUAACUACGUG
rnacentral:rRNA from 1 species